AUGGUCGAAGGCUCGGAUACGGACAUCGCUAGCCUUAAAUUCCUCCUCCUCUGCUUCCAACAAAUGUCUGGUCUGAAGAUCAACUUCGACAAGAGCGAUGUGAUGGCGAUGGGCUAUUCUCCGGCUGAGGCCCUUGACAUUGCCAACCGCCUCAAUUGCCGCAUGGGCUCCUUCCCAACGACCUACCUAGGAACGCCCAUUAGUGACUCUUGGCUUACUGUGGUGGACCUUCGGCCUGCGGUGACCAAGUUGCAAACGCGCAUUGAGCCUUGGCAAGGUCGGUGGCUCUCGAAGGCGGCACGGACGAUUCUCAUCAACUCCUCGCUCUCUAGUAUCCUCCUAUUCCUUAUGAGCUUCUACAGCCUCCACGAGACCCUCCAUCAUGAGAUCGCCAAAAUCCAGUCGCGCUUCUAUUGGGCUGGGGACAAUAACAAACAGAAGUAUCAUAUGGUUAGUUGGCCCGACAUCUGCAAACCCCGGGAGCAGGGAGGCCUUGGCAUCAUGUGCUCGAAGCGCAUGAACAUUGCUCUCCUCUCCCGUUGGCUCUAGCACAUCUCACAAGGGCAUGGAGGUCUGUGGUUAGACAUCAUCCGGAAUAAAUACCUGCGUGGCCAGCCUCUGGCCUUCUGCCAACGUUCGGGUGGAUCCCAGUUCUGGCAAUCGGUCAUCCAACUGCUCCCCGUCCUCCGCAUUGGGACCUCCAUCUCGGUCGGCUCGGGCGCAACGACCUUGUUCUGGUUUGACCGAUUGGCGGGUGACGCUCCUUUCACAGCCCGCUUCCCUGACCUCUUCUCCAGCGCCGUCGUCCCUACAAUCUCAGUUCAACAGGCCCUUAUUGACUUAGGGCGCCUCGUGUUCCAGAGGCCAUUUGGGCCUCCGGAAGUGGCCGCCUAG
rnacentral:rRNA from 1 species